rnacentral:rRNA from 1 species
ACUCCUACGGGAGGCAGCAGUGGGGAAUAUUGCACAAUGGGCGCAAGCCUGAUGCAGCCAUGCCGCGUGUGUGAAGAAGGCCUUCGGGUUGUAAAGCACUUUCAGUCGUGAGGAAGGUGGUAGUGUUAAUAGCACUAUCAUUUGUACGUUAGCGACAGAAGAAGCACCGGCUAACUCCGUGCCAGCAGCCGCGGUAAUACGGAGGGUGCGAGCGUUAAUCGGAAUUACUGGGCGUAAAGCGCAUGCAGGUGGUUGUUAAGUCAGAUGUGAAAGCCCGGGGCUCAACCUCGGAAUAGCAUUUGAAACUGGCAGACUAGAGUACUGUAGAGGGGGUUAGAAUUUCAGGUGUAGCGGUGAAAUGCGUAGAGAUCUGAAGGAUACCGGUGGCGAAGGCGGCCCCUGGACAGAUACUGACACUCAGAUGCGAAAGCGUGGGAGCAAACAGGAUUAGAUACCCCGU